rnacentral:rRNA from 1 species
GACGAACGCUGGCGGCGUGCUUAACACAUGCAAGUCGAGCGGUAAGGCCCUUUCGGGGGUACGACGAGCGGCGAACGGGUAGGAGUAACACGUGGGUGGACCUCGCCCUCCAGCUCUGGGAGUAAGCCUCGGGAAACCGGGGUACGUAAUAACCGGAUAUGACUCCAUGACGCAUGUUGUGGGGUGGAAAGCCUUGUGCGGCUGAGGAUGGGCCCGCGGCCUAUCAGCUUGUUGGUGGGGUGAUGGCCUACCAAGGCGACGACGGGUAGCCGGCCUGAGAGGGCGACCGG